CCGAGUUAUACAACUCCCAAACCCCUGUGAACAUACCACACGUUGCUUCGGCGGAGCGCCCCGGCGCCGGCGCCCCCCAGGGGGCGGCGGCCCGGAUACCAAGGCGCCCGCCGAGGGACCCAAACACUGUCUUCGCCGCCGGCGGAAUCUACGUCUGAGUGAUUUACAAAAUGAAUCA
rnacentral:misc_RNA from 2 species